rnacentral:rRNA from 1 species
ACGAACGCUGGCGGCAUGCCUAAUACAUGCAAGUCGAACGAGACCUUCGGGUCUAGUGGCGCACGGGUGCGUAACGCGUGGGAAUCUGCCCUUGGGUUCGGAAUAACAGUUGGAAACGACUGCUAAUACCGGAUGAUGACGUAAGUCCAAAGAUUUAUCGCCCAGGGAUGAGCCCGCGUAGGAUUAGCUAGUUGGUGGGGUAAAGGCCUACCAAGGCGACGAUCCUUAGCUGGUCUGAGAGGAUGAUCAGCCACACUGGGACUGAGACACGGCCCAGACUCCUACGGGAGGCAGCAGUAGGGAAUAUUGGACAAUGGGGGCAACCCUGAUCCAGCAAUGCCGCGUGAGUGAUGAAGGCCUUAGGGUUGUAAAGCUCUUUUGGCGGGGACGAUGAUGACGGUACCCGCAGAAUAAGCCCCGGCUAACUUCGU